AUGGCAACUGUUCUGCUUUCAGCAGCUACUUUUCUGGUUUGAAGGGGGGAAGAAGUUUUUCUGGGAAGAGCAGAACACAGGAGUUGGGGUGCAGACCUCCUGGAUCACCAGCAGAAGGAAAAGAGCAGUGAGACGUUAAAGUGAUUGAGACAAAAAUGGAAGUAAAACAGCUUAAGGCUUUCUGAGAUCGAGUUCCUGGCAGUGUCAUCAGCAGAUGGUUUCUUCUGAAGUUCAGGGGAAGAGAAGAUGCUCGAAGAACUCUCCAGGGACUGAGUGGGUGGUACAGAGCUAGUGCUGUAGAUGCCAUGUAUACAGGCAAAUUCCCCAAUGAGUGUUUUCCAAUAUCAAGUUUAACUGGCAUUUAAGAUAUAUGCCAAAGGUAGGUAAAUUAUUUUGGCCUGUGCUUAUAGGUUUAUUUCCCUGGAUGAAGCUUUCUGUCUCUGUCCUAGUGCACUGUAGCAGAUGCAGGGUCUUUCCAUACAAUACAUUAAAAGCUGCAUCUCAUUUUAAAUAUAUUAUAGAAACCCUGAUCAUACAAUACAUACAAGAUUUUUAAGAUCAGCCUUCAGUCGAUUUUUUUGCUUUAUUUUUGUUCUGGAGGUCAAAAUGAGUGGUUAACUGUCUAAGUUGAUUGCAGAGAAAGUUACUACUCAUUCUAAACGUAGGUUUUUAGAAAAGUGUUCUUGGCAGUUGCUACCAUUGGCUUUUUCCAACUUACAUGGGAAUCAAGAUUCAGAACUGGUACACCAAUGGGAAGAGCCUGGAAAAUAGACUAUUGAUCAAGAUGAAUCUGGUCCAGAUACUUUAAGACCUUUUCAGUGUGUUUUUAAGAUUAUAAGUUUGAACUAACAGAAACUUCAAUGCUGUUUUUUCACAAGUCAAUGUGUAGUGUACUGUUAUUCUUUUUUUUCCUGUAAUAUCUUAAUAAUAUUCCUGGCUGUAAGAAAAAGUUAACACUAUACCUAUGUUUUGACUUACUUUAUAGAAGACCCAAACAAUAUUUAACAAAAGGAUUUUUCUCAAAUACUAUUUUGAAAUCACUAUAUUAGACACUAUCUUAAAUUUAUUUCUCAAUUUGCUUCUUUUUGAAACUUCCACAUUUUGGUGUUCUUUUCAGCAUCACUCAUUUUCUUUCAUAAUAAAGAUACCCAAUAACAAUAUCAUAAUAAAGAUUUGAUAACAAAUCUCCAGUUUUGGAGUGUUACAUUUCAUAUCUACAUGCUUACAGAGAAUUUAGUAUGAAUAUUCCCUGGCCUUAGUUCCUCUAAGCCUAGGAUACUUGUAGUCAUUUGGCAAAUAAUUUAAUCCAUGGCAAACAUGAGUCUUAAUACAAAAAUUAUUGAGUAGGCAAAAAAUAAUUGAACAUAUUUUGGACUGAUUACCAGUGCAUUAAAAAAGUAGAGGUUUAAGGAUGAGAAUAAUAAGUUUUUUUGUUUUUACUUAAAUUUAUAUAAAAGGAGUGAAAAUACAGUAGCCUAUAGUACUUAAGAGUGUGGGUAUAUUUUCAGCACUUAAUAAUUACUAGUUGAAUUGCAUAAUAUGGGACUAUAACUGAUAUGGUUUGGCUCUGUGUCCCCGCCCAAAUCUCAUGUUGAAUUAUAAUUUCCAAUAUUGGAGGAGGUACCUAGUGGGAGGUGACUGGAUCAUUGGGGGAAAUUUCCCCCUUGCUGUCCUCAUGAUAGUGAGUGAGUUCUCACAAGAUCUGAUGGUUUAAAAGUGUGUGGCAUUUCCCCCUUUACUCUUUCUCUCUCCUGCUGGCCAUGAGAAUAAGUGCUUGCUUCCCAUUCACCUUCUGCCAUGCUUGUGUUUCCUGAGGCUUCCCAGCCAUGCUUCUUGUUCAAGCUGCAGAACUGUGAGUCAAUUAAACCUCAUUUCUUCAUAAAUUACCCAGUCUCAGCUCUUUAUGGGAGUGUGAGAAUGGACUAAUAAAAUAUCUCUAGAAUUAUGUUUUUGGAGAUAAUUUAAAGAUAAACAAAUAUUGGAAACCUCAUUUGAUCACACAGAGAACAGUAAAUGGAAGUUCUACUUUUUCUCCAGGGCCUUUCUCAUGCUUAUGCAGGGAUUAUUCACCCAGAUAUCCUGAAAUAAGACAUCCAAUUAAGGUACCUGCUAUCUCAUGUAACACAGAAGAAAGUUGAGCAUAGAGGUUAAACAUUACCUAAUAUUGUUGGAAAAGCUUCGAAGCGUUCAUUUUCAAAGCAGCUAAUGUAAACCAUGAUAAUCACUAGUAGCACUAUGCCAUUUUAAAUACUUCAAUAUUUUGUAGUUAUUAGAUUCUAAGUAAGUAUAAAAUGUAGUGAAUACAAAUUUUAUUUGCCUAAACAGUGUUAGACAAUAUAAAUUAACGAGUUAUUUUUUAUUCUGUUUAAUAUUUUCAAGCCAAUAAACACUUUACUAAAGU
rnacentral:lncRNA from 1 species